rnacentral:rRNA from 1 species
AUGCACGCUGGCGGCGUGCCUCAUACAUGCAAGUCGAGCGAACAGAUAAGGAGCUUGCUCCUUUGACGUUAGCGGCGGACGGGUGAGUAACACGUGGGUAACCUACCUAUAAGACUGGGAUAACUUCGGGAAACCGGAGCUAAUACCGGAUAACAUUUGGAACCGCAUGGUUCUAAAGUGAAAGAUGGUUUUGCUAUCACUUAUAGAUGGACCCGCGCCGUAUUAGCUAGUUGGUAAGGUAACGGCUUACCAAGGCGACGAUACGUAGCCGACCUGAGAGGGUGAUCGGCCACACUGGAACUGAGACACGGUCCAGACUCCUACGGGAGGCAGCAGUAGGGAAUCUUCCGCAAUGGGCGAAAGCCUGACGGAGCAACGCCGCGUGAGUGAUGAAGGGUUUCGGCUCGUAAAACUCUGUUAUUAGGGAAGAACAAAUGUGUAAGUAACUGUGCACGUCUUGACGGUACCUAAUCAGAAAGCCACGGCUAACUACGUG